AAGACCUUCCGGAAGAGAGAGCUGAGCGACGAUGAUGGAGGAACGGGUGGUGGUCUCUGUCCGGCCACCGACCGGUGGUCAUGGUCCGGUGGUUUUGACGCGUGAGAAUAUCUCUCCACCCCAAAUUCAUCUUUGAAACCCUAACACCAUCUCCGGCACCACCAAAUUCCACCAUAUCCGGCCACUUAUCCACACGAGGGGCAUGCGAUAUCUGAACCACCACUCAACCUCCGCUCCGCCGCUUGACCUCCGGCCGGCGUCACACUCAUCAUCGCCUGAAUAUCCAUCUGAAGCGAAGCUUAUCCAUGGUGUCCUCCAGUUUCGUUACAGUACCUAAACCCUUUUCUUCUUUUGCUAUAGGCCUUUCUUCUCCUUUGAUCUCCACUAAAUCCACAACUAUUUAAUGUCCGCUAAUUUAUUAUUUUAUAAGCUUCACCGAUUACAAUUUUUAUUUGAUUUAACAGGUCUAUAAAAGAAUUCGUUCAAGGUAAUGGCGUCAACUUGAUUGGGUGAAUCAAAAUUUAAGGGCUACAAGAUGUUAUAAAAAAGACCAAAUAGAAAAGUGUUAAAAUUUCAAGCUCAUUGUGGACUGUAAGGUGAUUCAAAUCUGGGACUACCAUUGGGUUGCAGGUGUGGAUGAAAGGGAAGGAAAAAACUAAUCAUGGCGGAGUGGUGGCAUACACACGUGGAGCUAAAAGGUGAGGCACGCAGGCAGGCACCUACCAAUCGAGUUUCAGAUCCAGAUGAAAAGAUGCAGAAAUGAUAGCUUUAUCGACGGAAUCGUUGUUGGAGACGAACUGAUUCGUGUGGGAGAUUUGUAGCAAGGGGUUUCAGAGAGAUCUGAAUUUGCAGCUUCAUAGAAGAGGUCAUAACUUACCAUGGAAGCUUAAGCAACAAAACAAACAUGAAGUUGCCAGGAAGAAGGUUUAUAUAUGUCUGGAAAUAAGUUGUGUUGGUCAUGAUUCGGCUUGAGCUCUAUCUUACCGGAGUUAAGAAACAUAAAUGGAAGUGUGGAAAUAGUUCCAAGUAGUAUGCAGUUCAGUUGGUUUGGAAAGCCCAAAGCAAGAUUUGUGUUACUAGAUAGUAUAAGUGUAAUUGUGGAGUAUUGUUUUUAAGGUAUGUAUUGUCUUCGAAUAUAUGUUGUAGUAAUUGGUUGUGGUUAGAUUUUUAGAUUAGAGUACUUUAUGUUGUGGU
rnacentral:lncRNA from 1 species